rnacentral:rRNA from 1 species
ACGCGCAAAACCUUACCUACCCUUGACAUGUCUGGAAUCCCGCAGAGAUGUGGGAGUGCUCGAAAGAGAGCCAGAACACAGGUGCUGCAUGGCUGUCGUCAGCUCGUGUCGUGAGAUGUUGGGUUAAGUCCCCGCAACGAGCGCAACCCUUGUCAUUAGUUGCUACGAAAGGGCACUCUAAUGAGACUGCCGGUGACAAACCGGAGGAAGGUGGGGAUGACGUCAAGUCCUCAUGGCCCUUAUUGGUAGG